rnacentral:rRNA from 1 species
GUAGGGUGCAAGCGUUAAUCGGAAUUACUGGGCGUAAAGCGUGCGCAGGCGGUUCUGUAAGAUAGAUGUGAAAUCCCCGGGCUCAACCUGGGAAUUGCAUAUAUGACUGCAGGACUUGAGUUUGUCAGAGGAGGGUGGAAUUCCACGUGUAGCAGUGAAAUGCGUAGAUAUGUGGAAGAACACCGAUGGCGAAGGCAGCCCUCUGGGACAUGACUGACGCUCAUGCACGAAAGCGUGGGGAGCAAACAGGAUUAGAUACCCUGGUAGUCCACGCCCUAAACGAUGUCUACUAGUUGUUGGGGACGAUAGUCCUUGGUAACGCAGCUAACGCGUGAAGUAGACCGCCUGGGGAGU